rnacentral:piRNA from 1 species
UGAUUUAUUACUAUUAUGAUCUCAAG